rnacentral:rRNA from 1 species
AUUGAACGCUGGCGGCAUGCUUUACACAUGCAAGUCGAACGGCAGCGCGGGCUUCGGCCUGGCGGCGAGUGGCGAACGGGUGAGUAAUGCAUCGGAACGUGCCCAGUAGUGGGGGAUAGCCCGGCGAAAGCCGGAUUAAUACCGCAUACGACCUGAGGGUGAAAGCGGGGGACCGAAAGGCCUCGCGCUAUUGGAGCGGCCGAUGUCGGAUUAGCUAGUUAGUGGGGUAAAGGCUUACCAAGGCGACGAUCCGUAGCUGGUCUGAGAGGACGACCAGCCACACUGGGACUGAGACACGGCCCAGACUCCUACGGGAGGCAGCAGUGGGGAAUUUUGGACAAUGGGGGCAACCCUGAUCCAGCCAUGCCGCGUGCGGGAAGAAGGCCUUCGGGUUGUAAACCGCUUUUGUUCGGGAAGAAAUCCUCUGGGCUAAUACCCCGGGGGGAUGACGGUACCGGAAGAAUAAGCACCGGCUAACUACGU